GGGGCUGUAGCUCAGUUGGGAGAGCGCUGCGUUCGCAAUGCAGAGGUCAGGGGUUCGAUUCCCCUCAGCUCCA
rnacentral:tRNA from 1 species